UCAUUAUUUAUAAAAAAUAGAAAAUAAAAAAAAGCGGGGAUCCGCUGUUUCUUGAAAAACAACAAAUUCCUAUAUGAGUGACAUCCAUUGUCCGCAGAACUCACGUGGCUGCAAAUCAAGGGCUACAAUCACAUCGUACAAUAAAUAUAUAUAAGUCUAUUGCAGCAAUAAUAAGCAGACGCACGCAAUGACGUAAAUACCUAAAACCGUUCAUCACACGCAACCACGAGCUGGCGAUAACUACUCAAAACAAAUAGUCCUCGCAUCCAAUCCGUCAAAACUACACCGCCUUAGGCAACGGCUGAUCUUGUUCCAAAGUUCUCAAUAAAUACCAACCUCCGCUACCAUGUUUUUCAGCGCUAGGGUUUUUCCUAUCUUUUCGUGUCUGGUCAGCGGAGGAAUUUGCUAUCUCCCUCUCUUCCUCCUUUUCGUUUUUCUGUACGGAAGGCGUGGGCAUGUCGACCUUCGUUAUCCGAUGGGGGCUUUUCAUCUCCUUCGGCGAUAUCUUCGGCCCGUUUGAUCGAUCUGCUAUUCUAUAUUAAUCUUUUUUCGCUAGAUCUGUCCCUCUUAAAAGUUUUUCAGGAUUCCUUUUCACUUUGCGUUUUAUUUUUUGUUAUAUAUCUUCCCACAGUGGCGGCUGAUGAGUUCUUGCGUUGCGAUAUGGUGUCAGAUUCCUUAAGUUCGCGUCUAAAUUAAGUGGAAUGAGGCCGAUCUAUUGCAGUCCCGCCAGAUCUCUUUUUCUAUCGGGAAAACCCUAUUGUUUCUUUUUUAUUUUUAGAUCUGUUAUUUUCGUGCAGAUGAUUUUAUUUUGAUUUUGCGUUGUUUUUUUAUGAAUUCUCAUUCUACAGUUGCUGGUAACAACUGGGUGGGGUGUUCGAUACCUUGAUGAUGUGAUCGGUAUAUCGAGGAGGCGUUUCAACAGUAUCUGUUUGACAUGAUCUUUUCGGCAAAAUCAACCUGUUUUUUGGAACUCUUUUCUGUUUUCCUUGAAUCGUUAUCUAGUUAUCAUCAAAUCAUCAACUUUUUUUUUUUUAUUUUUAAUUUUCUACUGCAGUUCCAUUUGAUGACUUUGGGGUCGGUUAGGAUUUCAGCAUGUUCAUUUCUUCGCGGCGUUACGGAGAUUGAGGCCGAUUUAUUGAAAAUCAGACAAGACUUAUUUACUUUCGGGAGAUACUUUCUGCCUUUUGUUUAAAUUGUUCAUUUCGUUUGGUUUGCUUGUGCGAGAAAUAUUAUGUGACUGCUACAUAGAUCUGAUACGUUGUUAUUUUGUGUUUGUCUUAUUUGAAACUGCAGUUUCUGGAAAAAAUUUUGAGGUCGAAAACCUAUGUCCUGUGAUAGUCUCGGCCAACUCAUGCCCAUUUUUCUUCAACCAGAGCUGACACUUUAGGCUGUUCAUUCAACCUUUUAAACACUUUUUUUUGCUUGCCUAAUAAUUUUUCAUAGACUUUGUUGAAUUUAUGUUUUUGAGGGGGGGUUUGUUGUGUCAGGGUGCUUGGUUCGGUAUGUUGGUGCGGAUGAACGCUAAUAUGGCGCAACUUAAAUCGGUUUGGUUAACUUUUUUUGUUAAUAUUUAUCGUUUUUUUUUCUUUUGUACUAUCAGGGUUUUCGUUUGCAUGACAAUUUAUGUGUUUUUUGGAAUAUUUGGAUUGUUUUUUGUUUAAUUUUUAUUUUGCAGCACUCCAUGCUGAUAUGCAAGAUGCCAGUUUCCUCGAUUCAUUGUCCAGUAUUCUGAGUCGGGCUGCUGGAAUUCAAUCAAAUUGUAGAGAAGAUUCUAGCGUCGGAAGAAUAGGAUCUUAGUGCCGUUGAAAUAUUCGCUUGGGCCUAUUCUUUUAGUAUAGAUGUAAACGUUGAGCACAAGUGAGAAUCAAGAGGGUAGUGGAUACACUUACGAAAAUGGAAGGUACAACAUCUUGAGGACAUGAUUACUUUUUUCUGAUGUCGGCCUUUGCCAUGUUGGGUGAGCUCGCAUGGCAGGUCAAACAUAAUAAUACUUCUAUUUUCUGUUUUGCGGGGGGGUACGGGGUAAUCCUUUAUCCCGUGUUCUCCUUGACUGUCUUUCUUGUCUUGUUCUUUGCUCAACUCAAAAAGUCGUCUCUUCUGUUCAAUUCCACGCGUUGCGCAAUUUAUGGAGGUUCAUGUCUACGUGCGAUUGUCCUUUAAGUUCAUGUGGAACGUAGCAAAACAUUUUAAUUCAAGCCCUCGCUGCGCCCUCCAUAAUAAAAAAACUGCAUGAGAAGAUUCAUCUGGAAGAGGGAGAGGGAAUCACCUGGGCUACAGAUUUGUCGUUAUUUUGAAAAGAAGCAAGACUACGCCUCGCAAAUUAGUUCAUCAGUUUGGGUCUCUUUCUUGCUGCAUCUAUGCAAAAGACUGCCUCGCAGUUUAGUUCAUCAGUUUGGGUCUCUUUCUUGCUGCAUCCAUGCAAAAGACUGCCUCGCAGUUUAGUUCAUCAGUUUGGGUCUCUUUCUUGCUGCAUCCAUAUGCAUCCAGGGGUUUCUAGAGAAGAUUUACACCGACCUUUUGAGUCAGUACUCGACAUUUUGAAGUUGAUUAUAUUUCAAAGAGGCAUGAGCUUAUGACGAGAAACCUUGUUGAUUAGUGUUUAUUGCUUAUUGUUCUUCUAAUCUUGUUAGUUUUAAGUUGAAUAUAAUUCACGAACUAGAUGGUUUUUUUUGUUUUUGUUUUGAUAGUUAAUUGGUCAGUAUUGUUCUCUACCGAAUAGUCUUUAUUCUUUAGAUGCAUUAUUUGUUUUGUUGGGGCGUUCAUUUGAAAC